CUUUCUCUGUCUCACAAUAUAAGUUAUUCUAGUAUUUCCCACAUUCAUAUGUCUAAAUUCAUUAACAUCAAUAUAAAUGUGGAAAAUGUUAGAAUGAUUUACAUUGUGAAACGGAGAGAG
rnacentral:misc_RNA from 1 species